UUGUGGGUCGUUGGAAAACAAGUUCGUUCACCGGACAACGGCUUAUUAUUUAUAUGAGUCUCAGAUUCAAAUAAAUAAUAAGCAAAAACUUGAAUUCCUACUCUUAUAGAACACAAAUAUUUUAAUUUACUUUGCAUUCCGAAAUUUUUUUAACAGCAUAUUGAGAUUAAAGCUCUCUAAAUAUGCGUUUUCUAUAUGAGUUAUGGGAAAAUAUG
rnacentral:lncRNA from 1 species